GGAUCAUUUACGAGUUACCACUCCCCAGAA
rnacentral:rRNA from 1 species